UGCGGACAGUGUCUGGUGGGUAGUUUGACUGGGGCGGUCUCCUCCUAAAGAGUAACGGAGGAGCACGAAGGUUGGCUAAUCCUGGUCGGACAUCAGGAGGUUAGUGCAAUGGCAUAAGCCAGCUUGACUGCGAGCGUGACGGCGCGAGCAGGUGCGAAAGCAGGUCAUAGUGAUCCGGUGGUUCUGAAUGGAAGGGCCAUCGCUCAACGGAUAAAAGGUACUCCGGGGAUAACAGGCUGAUACCGCCCAAGAGUUCAUAUCGACGGCGGUGUUUGGCACCUCGAUGUCGGCUCAUCACAUCCUGGGGCUGAAGUAGGUCCCAAGGGUAUGGCUGUUCGCCAUUUAAAGUGGUACGCGAGCUGGGUUUAGAACGUCGUGAGACAGUUCGGUCCCUAUCUGCCGUGGGCGCUGGAGAACUGAGGGGGGCUGCUCCUAGUACGAGAGGACCGGAGUGGACGCAUCACUGGUGUUCGGGUUGUCAUGCCAAUGGCACUGCCCGGUAGCUAAAUGCGGAAGAGAUAAGUGCUGAAAGCAUCUAAGCACGAAACUUGCCCCGAGAUGAGUUCUCCCUGACUCCUUGAGAGUCCUGAAGGAACGUUGAAGACGACGACGUUGAUAGGCCGGGUGUGUAAGCGCAGCGAUGCGUUGAGCUAACCGGUACUAAUGAACCGUGAGG
rnacentral:rRNA from 1 species